rnacentral:rRNA from 1 species
CGGAGAUCAAAGCCGGGGAUCGUAAGACCUGGCGCUUGAUGAGGGGCCCGCGUCCGAUCAGCUAGUUGGUGAGGUAACGGCCCACCAAGGCGACGACGGGUAGCCGGCCUGAGAGGGUGACCGGCCACACUGGGACUGAGACACGGCCCAGACUCCUACGGGAGGCAGCAGUGGGGAAUAUUGCACAAUGGGCGCAAGCCUGAUGCAGCAACGCCGCGUGAGGGACGAAUGCCUUCGGGUUGUAAACCUCUUUUAGUAGGGAAGAAGCGAAAGUGACGGUACCUGCAGAAAAAGCACCGGCUAACUACGUGCCAGCAGCCGCGGUAAUACGUAGGGUGCAAGCGUUGUCCGGAAUUAUUGGGCGUAAAGAGCUCGUAGGCGGUUUGUCGCGUCUGCUGUGAAAACUGGAGGCUCAACCUCCAGCCUGCAGUGGGUACGGGCAGACUAGAGUGCGGUAGGGGAGAUUGGAAUUCCUGGUGUAGCGGUGGAAUGCGCAGAUAUCAGGAGGAACACCGAUGGCGAAGGCAGAUCUCUGGGCCGUAACUGACGCUGAGGAGCGAAAGCAUGGGGAGCGAACAGGAUUAGAUACCCUGGUAGUCCAUGCCGUAAACGUUGGGAACUAGAUGUAGGGACCAUUCCACGGUUUCUGUGUCGCAGCUAACGCAUUAAGUUCCCCGCCUGGGGAGUACGGCCGCAAGGCUAAAACUCAAAGGAAUUGACGGGGGCCCGCACAAGCGGCGGAGCAUGCGGAUUAAUUCGAUGCAACGCGAAGAACCUUACCAAGGCUUGACAUAUACCGGAAAGCUGCAGAGAUGUAGCCCCCGCAAGGUCAGUAUACAGGUGGUGCAUGGUUGUCGUCAGCUCGUGUCGUGAGAUGUUGGGUUAAGUCCCGCAACGAGCGCAACCCUCGUUCUUUGUUGCCAGCACGUAAUGGUGGGAACUCAAAGGAGACUGCCGGGGUCAACUCGGAGGAAGGUGGGGAUGACGUCAAAUCAUCAUGCCCCUUAUGUCUUGGGCUUCACGCAUGCUACAAUGGCCGGUACAAAGGGCUGCAAUACCGUAAGGUGGAGCGAAUCCCAAAAAGCCGGUCUCAGUUCGGAUUGAGGUCUGCAACUCGACCUCAUGAAGUCGGAGUCGCUAGUAAUCGCAGAUCAGCAACGCUGCGGUGAAUACGUUCCCGGGCCUUGUACACACCGCCCGUCAAGUCAUGAAAGUCGGUAACACCCGAAGCCAGUGGCCCAACCGCAAGGAGGGAGCUGUCGAAGGUGGGAUCGGUAAUUAGGAC